rnacentral:rRNA from 1 species
UACGUAGGGAGCAAGCGUUGUCCGGAAUUAUUGGGCGUAAAGAGCUCGUAGGCGGUCUGUUGCGUCGGCUGUGAAAACCCGGGGCUCAACCCCGGGCCUGCAGCCGAUACGGGCAGACUAGAGUUCGGCAGGGGAGACUGGAAUUCCUGGUGUAGCGGUGAAAUGCGCAGAUAUCAGGAGGAACACCGGUGGCGAAGGCGGGUCUCUGGGCCGAUACUGACGCUGAGGAGCGAAAGCGUGGGGAGCGAACAGG